UAUAAAUUGAAUCAUUUUAUAUUAUGUAUGUAAUAAAUAAAGAUCACUUUCAACAACGGAUCUCUUGGCUCUCGCAUCGAUGAAGAACGUAGCGAAGUGCGAUAAGUAAUGUGAAUUGCAGACUUCCGUGAAUCAUCGAAUCUUUGAACGC
rnacentral:rRNA from 1 species